rnacentral:rRNA from 1 species
GUCCACGCCGUAAACGAUGCGCGCUAGAUCGGUGCGGCUCUGACGCCGUAUCGGUCGGAGCAAAAGCGAUAAGCGCGCCGCCUGGGGAGUACGGUCGCAAGGCUAAAACUCAAAGGAAUUGACGGGGGCUCACACAAGCGGUGGAGCAUGUUGCUUAAUUCGAUGCAACGCGAAGAACCUUACCUGGGUUUGACAUGGCUGGAUUAACCCCCGGAAACGGGGGCCACACCCGCAAGGGUGGAACGGUCACAGGUGCUGCAUGGCUGUCGU